rnacentral:rRNA from 1 species
AUUGAACGCUGGCGGCAGGCCUAACACAUGCAAGUCGGACGGUAGCACAGAGGAGCUUGCUCCUCGGGUGACGAGUGGCGGACGGGUGAGUAAUGUCUGGGGAUCUGCCCGAUAGGGGGGGAUAACCACUGGAAACGGUGGCUAAUACCGCAUAACGUCGCAAGACCAAAGAGGGGGACCUUCGGGCCUCUCACUAUCGGAUGAACCCAGAUGGGAUUAGCUAGUAGGCGGGGUAAUGGCCCACCUAGGCGACGGUCCCUAGCUGGUCUGAGAGGAUGACCAGCCAGACUGGAACUGAGACACGGUCCAGACUCCUACGGGAGGCAGCAGUGGGGAAUAUUGCACAAUGGGCGCAAGCCUGAUGCAGCCAUGCCGCGUGUAUGAAGAAGGCCUGCGGGUUGUAAAGUACUUUCAGCGGGGAGGAAGGCGGUGAGGUUAAUAACCUCGCCGAUUGACGUUACCCGCAGAAGAAGCACCGGCUAACUCCGUGCCAGCCGCCGCGGUAAUAC